rnacentral:lncRNA from 1 species
UAAUGAUUAGUUUGUUCCAUAAUAAUUUGACAAAUGAAACAUACUUUUAAGCAGAAUCUUGUCACUUACAUUAAAAUAAAGUAUAAAAUCCAAUGUGAAUAAAAUGCUGUACUACAAAAGAGUUCAGUGAUUUAACAUCUCCAUCUUUUGAAUCAAUAAUGGGCUUUAUUUAUUUUUCUUGAUUCUUUUUGAGAUAUACAACAUGGGCGCAGUUGACUUCAUGUUUUUGAAGAUUACCUAUAAGGUCCCUGUGCAAAAAUUAAAAAAAAAAAAACAUGAGGUCAUUUGCCGAAGUUAUUCCUAUUUUUGAAAGCAACAAAUACUAUGUCAUUACAGUAACUACUGAGCAUGUAUGUGUAUGACCUUGAAAGCAUGACCGGUCGCAGAAAAGAUUGAAGAAUAAGCAGAGAUGGGAUCUAGCUGCUUCAGCCUUUAGGCCAGUUUUGGGACCAUAAAAAGGGAUUCCCAAUUUUGAAAAAAAAAAAAAAAAAGACUGAGUAAGAGUUUCUUCAAAAAUGCUGCAUGGCUGGUAUCUUUGUCAGUUGUAUAUUAUACCUAUUUUCAAUGCAUGCAGCAUUAGGAUGAAGAAGAUGUGACAGAGUCGCUGGAGUUGCAUAAUUCAGACGCAAAAGAAAACAAUAAAUAAAGCCACUUCCAUAUAGCUGACCCACCAAAAUAUACAGAACAACUUUAUCAUUUAAAUCCAUGAGAUUUUACAUUAUUUCAUAUGUGCAUGCAUAUUAUAUACAUAUUUAUUCCAAUAGAUCUUCUAACAUUAGAGCUUCUACAAAUGAAACUCCUGAGAGAAAAAAUUGAUUGUCCAAUUGUCGGUUUAUAAUGUUGGGGAUAAAUUUCACCUGCAUUAACUAGUAGUAAAAGUUCUAAAAAAAGUCUGAAGGAAAAAUGAAAAAAAAAACUUACAAAAAUUAUUUCUUUUCUUGACCAUUGGGCAACAAUUAGGAGUUGCCAUUAGAAAACUAUUAUACUAAUACAAUAAGAGUUGUCACUAGAGGUGGGCAAAACUAAAACAAACUUGUAAAAUUACCGGCUCAGUUCAAUUUUUAAGGGUUCAAUUCAGUUUUUUUUGUUAAAAAAAUGAAUAUUCCAAUUCGAUAUAAAAAUAAAUACUUUUGAUUCAGUUUUUAGUUUAAAUUUUCAAAUCUAAGAACCGAAUUGAAAAACUAAAAAAAUAAUUUUUAAAUAAAAAAAAAUCGUGUGGCCUUGAGGGGUGGGUCGAAUUGAACGGGACCCAAAAAAUUCAGUUCGAUUCGGAGUUUUAUAACUAAAAAAGAAAAAUAUAUAUUAAUACUGAAACCUAACUGAAUGUAAAUUUCUGAUUUUUUGAAAUUCUCAAACCAAACCGAACUGAAAUUUUUUGAUUUAUUUCGAAACCAAACUAAUCUGAACUAGUGCCCACCCUUAGUUAUCACUAGGAAACUUUUAUGCUAAUAAAUUUUAUUACUCUGUAUACUCAUAUGUUAAAUUUAAAAAAUUAAGUUUUAUUUUAUGUACUCUUUAAAAUAUCAAAAAUGACCUUACUGAAACCACUUAAAUUGCUUUAUUCAAAACACUAAUUAAACUAUUUAACACACUAAAAAAAAAUAAUAAUGAUUUAGUAUAUACAUCACUAGAAUCAAAUUAUGUUGUAAAUAAAAUCUUUAACAUAAGUUUUAGUUAUUAGUUCUUGUUAUUAAAGAAUAUGUUCAAAACAGUUUUUACACCUCAAUUUUUUAACAUAAAAAUUGAAAAAAAAAAAAAAGGCCAUGUAGCCAAAAAAAAAAAAGACAAAAUAAGAAGAAGAAGAAGAAGUAGAAGAAGAGAAAGAAAAGAAGGAGACAACAACAAAAGAUACUUUUAAUUUUAUUUUUUUUUGAAAAUCAAAAGGAAAAAAUAUGUUCAAAAUAUUUUAAGUAUUGAUUUGGUCGUUAGUAAUAAAAUUUUAGGGUUUAUGGUAAGAGGAAUUAUAAAUUGAAUAGUGAGUGUGCUAUAUGAGUGUUCAAAAUAAUUAUAUUAUAUUAUUUUAUAGGAGAGAGUCCUUAAUAGUAAUUCAUAUAAUGGAUAUUUUUAUGAUAAAAUAUUUCAUUAAAAUAAUAGUGUUCAGAGUAAAUUUUAGAGUACAAAUAAUCUCAUCCUUAAUUAUAUGAUAUCUCCAAUAAAUAUUUUAGCAAUUUCAUCAAGCUACUUUAAGCAUCAUUAAAGCACAAUAAUCAUCUCAAUUUAUUCAGAUGAUUCAAAGAAGUUAUUCAAAUUGAAUCCAACAAGCACAUGAAGAAGCAAGCUACACAACUAAUUUACAGAGACACAUGUAUGUAUGUAUGUAUGUAUGUAUGUAUGUAUGUUGUAGGUAGAUAGGUAAGUAGGUAUAAAUUUGUUAAAAUAAUAUAUUGAUAUUUUGAAUAAUAUCUUUUAAAAAAUACAUUGUAAAAAUUCCUUUUAAAAAUUUAAAAUUUGAGUUUCUUAUUUUUAUUUUAUUUUAUUUUAAAAGAAUAUAUAUAAAUGAGUUUCUAAAUUCAAAAUAAAGAAAGAGUUUUCCAAUUUUUGCUUUGAUCUACCCAACCCAAGUUAUGGAUUGAAAAUGAGAAAAUGUAAAGAAGAAGGGGAAGUGGAUGAUAAAAUCCAAACAAGAAUGAGAGAGAACAAGGGGUGGGGCGGGGGUGGUAGCAAUUAAUGAGAGAAAGAAAAGAACAAAAUAAGAGCUAACAAAAGAUAGGGUUUCAAGUAAAAAGGCUGCUCGCUCUGACUAUCGACUUCCCCUUUUGUCUCUUCAGCUCUGUCUCUGUAAUCUGUAUCAGCCUCAGCCUCGGCCUCAGGCCUCAGCAACGUAUGGCCGCUUUCACCUUGCGCCCCCCCACCAAUCACCAUUAAUAUUUCUCUCUUAAUUUGCUUUCUUUUUCAUUUUUUUAUUUUUUUAUCUUUUUUUGGUUUUUGGCGUCUAUCACCAUCGGAAAGACUUUUGUGUGGUACACGGUCACAGCAACGGACAGAAGUACUCAGAAACAAACGUGGGUUUAGACAGAACGUAGGGACCACCAGUUAGCCCCUCAUCUAUGUGACACGUGGUGUUUUGGCCUUUUGAGGCCUUCGUAUCACUAGGUAAGAAUUUUGCGCAGCAUAUUGGUGCGACAAUUAGAUAAUUAUUGUCCAAAAAAAUUGUUAAGCAAGUAAGCCUUAAAUUUUUUUGAUGAGUUAAGUGAGAAUGCUUGCAGAGGAACUAAAGAGAAAGAGAAAAGAGAGCAAGUAAGCUAGGGAACAUUUGUAUUAUUCAUAAUAAAAAGUGUGUACAAG